rnacentral:tRNA from 1 species
ACUUAAGAAGCUUAGGUUUUGAGCGUUACAUUGAAGCUGUAAAGGUGGCAGGUUUGUCCUUAGGUG